rnacentral:rRNA from 1 species
GUAGUCCACGCCCUAAACGAUGUCGACUAGUCGUUCGGAGAGGUAACUUUCUGAGUGACGCAGCUAACGCGUGAAGUCGACCGCCUGGGGAGUACGGUCGCAAGAUUAAAACUCAAAGGAAUUGACGGGGACCCGCACAAGCGGUGGAUGAUGUGGAUUAAUUCGAUGCAACGCGAAAAACCUUACCUACCCUUGACAUGUCUGGAACUUGUGAGAGAUCACUUGGUGCCUUCGGGAGCCAGAACACAGGUGCUGCAUGGCUGUCGUCAGCUCGUGUCGUGAGAUGUUGGGUUAAGUCCCGCAACGAGCGCAACCCUUGUCGUUAAUUGCCAUCAUUCAGUUGGGCACUU